CAGCGAUUACUUCGGGUAUUGGUUUAGCCAUUAGGCGCCGCUGAUACCCAUCGCGGCGUCCACUUUCGAGGGGCCGCCGAACACGAGAAUACUCAAACCCCCGGUCGGCCCCCCGACCGGGGG
rnacentral:sRNA from 1 species